rnacentral:rRNA from 1 species
UACGUAGGGUGCGAGCGUUAAUCGGAAUUACUGGGCGUAAAGUGUGCGCAGGCGGCUUCGCAAGUCGAGUGUGAAAUCCCUGAGCUUAACUUGGGAAUUGCGCUCGAAACUACGGAGCUGGAGUGUGGCAGAGGAAGGUGGAAUUCCACGUGUAGCGGUGAAAUGCGUAGAGAUGUGGAGGAACACCGAUGGCGAAGGCAGCCUUCUGGGCCAACACUGACGCUCAUGCACGAAAGCGUGGGGAGCAAACAGG